rnacentral:rRNA from 1 species
CAAAGGAAUUGACGGGGCCGCACAAGCGGUGGAGCAUGUGGUUUAAUUCGAUGCAACGCGAAGAACCUUACCUGGGCUUGACAUCCCUGGAAUCCCCUGGAAACAGGGGAGUGCCCUUCGGGGAGCCAGGAGACAGGUGCUGCAUGGCUGUCGUCAGCUCGUGUCGUGAGAUGUUGGGUUAAGUCCCGCAACGAGCGCAACCCUUGUCUUUAAUUGCCAUCAUUCAGUUGGGCACUUUAAAGAGACUGCCGGUGUUAAACCGGAGGAAGGUGGGGAUGACGUCAAGUCCUCAUGGCCUUUAUGCCCAGGGCUACACACGUGCUACAAUGGCCAACACAAUAGGUUGCUAAGCCGCGAGGUGGCGCCAAUCCAUAAAGUUGGUCUCAGUUCAGAUUGUAGGCUGCAACCCGCCUGCAUGAAGAUGGAGUUGCUAGUAACCGCAGGUCAGCUAUACUGCGGUGAAUACGUUCCCGGGGCUU